AGUUAUCUGAACGUUGUAGUUUGUUUUUGUAGUUUUGAUUUGUGCAGUUUAAUAUAAACGAGAUAUAAAGCAGGUGAGAUCUCUGUAAACAUGUGCAGACGAUUUGUACUCUGAAUAAUUCAAAAUUGUUGAAUGCAGAUAAACUUCUGCUAGAGGAACAAGAUCCGGCUAUUCUACAUUGCAGAUUGCCGGCUAUCAUACUAUCGGGCAUGCAACUCAUGUGUCCGCCCUAUUCGCUAUACGACUAGUCAGCUGUUGGCAUUGAGAAAAUCCCUGCUCUGCAACCGCCGUCCGGUAGCAAUAGAUGACCCUAUUGUGUCAAAUUUAGCAGCAAGGUUCCGUCGCAAUUACAAGUUCAGCAACCGAAACAACUACAUAAGUGCAGAUGAACAACGACACCAAGAUACAGCAAACGAGGAAGAGCCAGAAUGGGUGUUGGCAGGACCUACCUUUCGUCUGGACACAAUUUGUGAAUUCGAUGGAGAUAUUUCAAACAACGCCUCACCAAUCGAUUAGUUGACAUGCUAGCACAAAAUCAAGUCAACAGUAGCAUGAUUACUCAGCAACAAAUUCUAAUGCAAAUUCUCAGUGAAAAUCAACAGAAACAAUGAAAAACAACGUUGAGAAUGCAACUGAUCCACCACAAAUGCAACAACCCAACCCAACUAUCCAUCCCAACGUGAGCUGCGGUUCCGUACCCAAUCCAUAAUUCAGAACUUUGUGAUCAGAACGGUCGAAUUGUUGCCGCUGCCGCUGUGAUUAACAACGGCGAACCAAAUGCAGCUGUGCAGCAAUUCGUACAAUAAAUUUGUCCAAACAUGCAGCGAAGUCUUUUGGUUCAUAGUCACACUGCUAACCGGCUGGUGACAAAUAUCCUAAUGAUACAUAUUUCUCUGCAAAGCCGACUGCAGGAGCCACUACCCUCCGUCACGCAAAAAUUGUGCCAACAGAAACGAGGUGGUCCCAUGAGCGUUAGAACUUCUUAGGAAGCAUCGAAUUCUACAGAUCAAUUCUUACAUGUUACGAUAGCACUGGAUUCUUACAAUGCAUUUACCAGUGCAGAAAUGGUUAUCUCUUGCAACAUUCAAAUUUAAUGUUGUUUUGUACUAUAUAUUACCUUCCUCAUGAUCAUAUUUCAUAUGUUGUGGUUGUUCUUUUUCUUUUAUUACUAUUUAUAAUAACGUGCUUCGUUUCAUCAUUGUCAUAUUUUUUUGGGCAAGCGAAAUCUUGAUACAAAUUCUCACUGCCUGAUUUAUGUUUUAAAAAAUUGCAUCGAUUGAUUUGUCGUUAGGUUCUCCCAUCAAGUUUAUUAGUAUAAGACGAUUGUAAAUUAUAGGAACGAAUGUUCGUUCUUUUCUCUUUAUUAUUUUUUUUAGACUGCAAUCGCUAAAUGUUUUCUGGAAAAGCCGUUGUUUAACCUCACCACCAGCAAGCAUUAGCAUCUCAUAUAUUGCCUAAAAACUGUCUCAAUUAUUCUCAUGUGAAACUUUUACCCCUAGCUUUGCUCGAGUCUCGUAUCAAGUCAUCUAGAAACAGCGGCAGCCAAAGAGGAGAGCUGCAGCUGGUCGUUCUAAUGUGGUUCCUCUGUCUGUUAGGUCUGCUCAGUGAUGAAAGCCACGGUGGUGGAGCCAUAAUAGGUUCGCUUGGGGAGCAGGCACCCCGCUGCAGGAUCAGCACGAGCGAAAGAAGAAUUCGAAUAAGGCCAACAUUUCUCCAGAAGGUGAUUUGACACUUGGUAGUGUGAAGUCCGAUGGAAAGAUGUGAACGCUAGGAAAUAUCCAACCUGAUAGCACCAACACUAACAUCCCCCUACGCAUACCGCGUUACACCUGAAUA